rnacentral:rRNA from 1 species
ACUCUGAUGCAGCAACGCCGCGUGAGGGAAGACGGUCUUCGGAUUGUAAACCUUUGUYUUCGGKGACGAUAAUGACGGUACCCGAGGAGGAAGCUCCGGCUAACUACGUGCCAGCAGCCGCGGUAAUACGUAGGGAGCGAGCGUUGUCCGGAUUUACUGGGUGUAAAGGGUGCGUAGGCGGCUCUGCAAGUCAGGUGUGAAAACYAUGGGCUUAACUNNUGNANUGCAUUUGAAACUGUGGGGCUUGAGUGGAGCAGAGGCAGGCGGAAUUCCCGGUGUAGCGGUGAAAUGCGUAGAGAUCGGGAGGAACACCAGUGGCGAAGGCGGCCUGCUGGGCUUUAACUGACGCUGAAGCACGAAAGCAUGGGUAGCAAACAGGAUUAGAUACCCUGGUAGUCCAUGCCGUAAACGAUGAUUAACUAGGUGUGGGKGGUCUGACCCCWUCCGUGCCGGAGUUAACACAAUAAGUAAUCCACCUGG